rnacentral:tRNA from 1 species
GGUGACUCAGUGGUAGAGCGCUUGCCUUGCAUGCAAGAGGCCCUGGGUUCUAUUCCCCAGUACCA